AGUCAACUUCCAAGUUUCCAGAGAAUGAUAUCUUUUUACGAUAUUGCCAAAUUGCUUAAAAUGAUUGUACAUAUUUCUGUUGUGGAGAAAAAGCUUACGUCCUCAUCGGAUAGCGUAAAGUACUGUGAAAUAUGAGACUGAUGACUUUGAAAACUGAAAUAUGAAAGAUUUCUUUUUUUAUUUACAUGGCGUAUCAAACGCACAGUUGAUGAUUUUUUAUGAUGCAUUUGCUUUUGCAUUCGUUGCAAAACACGUAUGAAAAAUCAUACAUAUCGCCAAAUAAACGUUCUUGUAACAAUAAAAAUAGCAUACUUUUACAGUAAAAAUAGCAAUAAUUUUUGUAUAUUCGCAGAAGUUGUGUAUACAAUGUCAAGCUGCCUCUAUAAAUUAAAGGAAAUAAUUGGUUAUUAAGCUCAAAGAACAUCAUUGAUAACUUCGAAUUUUUAUAUUCUCUGUUAAGUAUAAAAAUUUAUCUCCACGAUGAUGUACAGUUCAAAGCACGUCCAUGUAGAAAUUAAUAUACAGGCAUUUUAUGUUUAUAGGCGAAACAAUGUCGAGAGUUAUUGGUGCUAUGUGACAUAUCAUGGGUUUGCUAUUAUGCCAGUACAGAGAAAAACUAAAAAAUAUUCGGAUAAAUCAGUGCUUUAAUAUAUUUGUUCAGUUGCUAAUAACAUACGUAAUUAAUUCAGUUACACCAUAUAGAAUUAAAUUAUCUGCAAUGCGGUUAAUGUCUUCGUGCAAUUAAACAAGAUAAUAUUUAAAAAAGAAAGGGAGAGACUCAGUGCGCGUGACAUAUUUUCUAUCAUUAAGUUAAUUAACGAUAGGGAAAAAGGGAAUGUAGAACUGAGUGCAACAUUAAAACCGAGUAGUUAAUCAGUGCAACCACAAAUCGUAAUCAAUAUUGGAGACGAGCAAUGAACGUACGCACAAACCAGUCAAUAUUGAAUAAACGUAAACCAACUUUCAGAAAACAUUUUCCUAUUGGAUAUGGAAUGCAUUGCGGAACUUAUCGAGAUAAUAUUGCAACUUUAAUCAUCUGACUGUACUUGGAAUUUUUCGAGUUGAUAUCACUGUAAUACUGCAUUUAAUUCCAAACAUAAUGCUGAAAGGCAACAGUAAAUUUUGACAAAUAAUGACUUCGAGUUAAACAUUCUCGUAGCAAAGGACGCCUUGUGAUUUGUAGACGAACGAAUUAAUAAUAAAGAAGAAAGCCACUGUCGUAAGUAUUCCUGAACAGAGGCAAAUUGUUACGUGCAAUGCCAACGGACCAAAAUAUUCGGACGGAUCGACGAAAUAUUCUACUUCAAUAUAUAUUUUUCGCUCACGGCUCUCGUUCAAAGGCAAAACGAC